UAACAUCAAGAAAUUAAGAUUUCCUCCAGACCAUGACCAUCAUCCUAAAGGUCGGUAGCAAUAACGUUCAACCGACGGUACAACCUGGUCAGCAACCGCAAUUAGUGCAAUAGAUCCAAGCCAAAUGUAGAAGACCAUUGACCAACUGCAAAAAAGAUAGCAACAGCACAUUCAAACACAGUAGCAGCAGCAUACUAUACUGUCCCAUGCGGUGUGCAGGAGGACUUUUUUAUUCAGUUGGUGCGGCAAGAUCGAACACCAACAACAUAAUAUCAUGGUAAUCACCCAGCAAGAGAACGCAGUGAUAAUGGGCCAACAGAAAACACAACAUCAAGAUGCUCGGAAAGGACUUUCUCUUUCGAACAAACAUAAUGGCACGUCAUGUUCAAUCGGCUAACCGUUUGGAAUAAGCGCUCAUCAUCGGUUUCAUGGCAGGGAAGUGAGCAGGCAAAAGAAGGCAUCGUUUUUUCCGCAAGGUCGCUCUGGUCAAAAUUUCAGCGAAUUGCAAGGAAUAAACCACCCGAAGGACAGUACCCGUGCUGAUUCAGGACGAUUUCCCAUACUUUGUACCUUGCUAUUGAAUUUUAAUACCCGAUCGAAACGAUGGCAAGCGCUGCCGUUAACUGGGUCAAAAAGACGACGGAUCAAGAAAUUUCU